GACAUAGGUGGCGAACGUUAUCCGGAUUUAUUGGGCGUAAAGAGCGUGUAGGCGGCCGCACAGGUCCGUUGUGAAAACUGGAGGCUUAACCUCCAGACGUCGAUGGAAACCGUGCGGCUAGAGUCCGGAAGAGGAGAAUGGAAUUCCUGGUGUAGCGGUGAAAUGCGCAGAUAUCAGGAAGAACACCCGUGGCUAAGGCGGUUCUCUAGUACGGUACUGACGCUGAGACGCGAAAGCGUGGGGAGCGAACAGG
rnacentral:rRNA from 1 species